UACGUAGGGUGCGAGCGUUAAUCGGAAUUACUGGGCGUAAAGCGUGCGCAGGCGGUUUUGUAAGCCAGAUGUGAAAUCCCCGGGCUCAACCUGGGAACUGCGUCUGAUACUGGAUGGCUUGAAUCCGGGAGAGGGAUGCAGAAUUCCAGGUGUAGCGGUGAAAUGCGUAGAUAUCUGGAGGAAUACCGGUGGCGAAGGCGGCAUCCUGGACCGGCAUUGACGCUGAGGUGCGAAAGCGUGGGGAGCAAACAGG
rnacentral:rRNA from 1 species